rnacentral:rRNA from 1 species
AAAUUGAAGAGUUUGAUCAUGGCUCAGAUUGAACGCUGGCGGCAGGCCUAACACAUGCAAGUCGAACGGUAACAGGAAGCAGCUUGCUGCUCCGCUGACGAGGGGCGGACGGGUGAGUGAUAUCUGGGAAACUGCCUGAUGGCGGCAGAUACCCACUGGAAACGGUGGCUAAUACCGCAUAACUUCUCACGACCAA